rnacentral:rRNA from 1 species
GACGAACGCUGGCGGCGUGCCUAAUACAUGCAAGUCGAACGAGUGGCGGACGGGUGAGUAAUGUCUGGGAAACUGCCUGAUGGAGGGGGAUAACUACUGGAAACGGUAGCUAAUACCGCAUACCAUCAGAUGUGCCCAGAUGGGAUUAGCGAGUAGGUGGGGUAACGGCUCACCUCGGCGACGCUCCCUAGCUGGUCUGAGAGUAUUAACAGCCACACUGGAACUGAGACACGGUCCAGACUCAUACGCGAGGCAGCAGUGGGGAAUAUUGCACAAUGGGCGCAAGCCUGAUGCAGCCAUGCCGCGUGUAUGAAGAAGGCCAUCGGGUUUUAAAGUACUUUCAGAGGGGAGGCGUUACCCGCAGAAGAAGCACCGGCUAACUCCGUGCCAGCAGCCGCGGUAAUUG